rnacentral:rRNA from 1 species
AUGCCGGCGAGGGAGCAAGGGACGGCGGCGAAGGUGCUGAAGCUGAGCAACGGGCACGAGAUGCCGGCCGUGGGGCUAGGCGUCUGGCGGAUGGACGCCCCCGCCAUCCGCGGCCUCAUCCACUCCGCCAUCCGCGCCGGCUACCGCCACUUCGACUGCGCCGGUACGCGUACGCCCUCCCGCUCUCCCCUCUCCACCCUCUUCACGUAA